rnacentral:rRNA from 1 species
UACGUAGGGUGCAAGCGUUAAUCGGAAUUACUGGGCGUAAAGCGUGCGCAGGCGGUUGUGCAAGACAGGUGUGAAAUCCCCGGGCUUAACCUGGGAAUGGCGCUUGUGACUGGUAGGCUAGAGUACGUCAGAGGGGGGUGGAAUUCCACGUGUAGCAGUGAAAUGCGUAGAGAUGUGGAGGAACACCGAUGGCGAAGGCAGCCCCCUGGGAUGAUACUGACGCUCAGGCACGAAAGCGUGGGGAGCAAACAGG